ACCAGUUCGACGAUAUCUGACAGUAUCCAGUGAAAGAUACUGGAAAAUUCAAUAAAUUUUAAUAGCUUUUAACACUUUUUAAAAUGUACAGGAAAAUCCAGUAGUGGUUCGUUUAAUUUUCGAUACCUGUUCAGAAUCAGAGAAAUUAAACUAUAAGCUGCCGCCGAACAUAAAUUGAACUAAAGAAUAUGGUUAGGUCUAUUUCUGAUCCCAUGUUUGUUUAUCAGGUUGGUGCGGAAUCGGAAACUUCUUCAGCAGCAAAUAAUUGAACAAUGAGUGAUAAAAAAAUCCUCAAGAAUAUUACAACUCGUUCUCACAUUUUAUUUAAAUGAGAACAUCCGGAUUAAUAAAAAUUAGUCAUCUGUUCAGAGAAACUUUCGGGCGCGUAAUUAUGAUCCGGAAAAUGCUCACUGAAGAGGUUCAUCAUACUUAACCAGCAUCAACAUGAGAAGAAUAAUAAUAAUUAAGCUUAAUUUUUAAGCUAAAAUUUGAAAAAGCUGAUGAAUACCGCUGUUUUUAUUCAAUUUCCGAUUCGCGGGAUUUGGUUCUGACACUCUACAGGAACCCGAACCAGAAGAACCCCGGACCUGCCCCCGAUGCCAGUUGAACAGAUCUUCGCAAUUAUGGAAAGUUUUUAAUCGGUGACAACAUACAAACGGAGUACGAAAUGGCCUGUGGAAUCCUUAAACCUGGACAUUACUGCUGAGAACAUAUAUAGAUCUGAAUCCGUAAUAAUCUUCAAAUUUACAUGAUAUGAUGAAAGUUUUCUUUUUCAAUUAUGCCAUUAAAUUUGUUUUAUCAAGUUUAAUGAUGUAUUUCCUUUACGCUA